AUUGAACGCUAGCGGCAUGCUUAACACAUGCAAGUCGAACGAGCGGCGGACGGGUGAGUAAUAUAUGGGAACGUGCCCAGUAGCGGGGGAUAACUACUCGAAAGGGUCGCUAAUACCGCAUACCAUUAGAGCGGCCGAUAUGGGAUUAGCUAGUGGGUGGGGUAAGGGCUCACCAAGGCCACGAUCCGUAGCUGGUUUGAGAGGCAGACCAGCCACACUGGGACUGAGACACGGCCCAGACUCCUACGGGAGGCAGCAGUGGGGAAUAUUGGACAAGGGGGGAAACCCUGAUCCAGCCAUCCCGCGUGUAUGAGAAGGCCUUCGGGUUGUAAAGUACUUUUGGUAGGGAGGCGGUAUCUGCAGAAUAAGCACCGGCUAACUACGUGCCAGCAGCCGCGGUAAUUC
rnacentral:rRNA from 1 species